CUGCACAAGUUAGUGGUUACUUGGGCAUGGUUGCUCUCUCAUUUCAGAGUCUCCUUUUGAAGUGGUUCAAAGGUAGAGAGCACUUUAGGAGAAUGGUGUGUUUUAAAACCUGGCUGGCAUUUACAAUGUUCUGCUCUGUUCUUCUCUGCAUUAGCUAUAAGAUAGUGGGCUUUAGUUUGCAGUAGAGAUCUUGUGGCUCAGGAGCCUGAAGAGUUUACUACUCAGCUCUGUGAAUCUUCUUUAAGAUGAUCUUUGAGAAUACCUUUCCAUGUCGUCCUUAAAGCAAGCUAUUGUCAUCCAUUGCUAGCAUUCAGAUUCUCAAGACAAGUAUGUCAUGAGAAAUGAACCUGCAAAGACUACCUGCUUUCUUACCACACUCAUUUCUCCUCACCACUUGUGCCUGCUGAAGGUGAGGUAAUGUGAGUUAGCACAUUUGGCUUGUUUUUCUGAGAGCAGCUCGCCUAGUCCACUUCUAGUUCCUGAGUGGUGAAUUAAUCUGAGUUCCCAUGGUAAAUAACCUUUGUGUUGUGAUCCUCUUAACAAGGCAGGGGAGUCUGUGGAAUGCAGGGCAUGGUGUGAGUGUGCUUCUGGGUUCUUACUGAGGUGUGUCUCUACCGAGCAACCAUGUGACCCAGGCUGAAGAUAGUGUGGAAGUGAUAUUAACUUGGAACUGUAUUUUGGCUGUCAUCAAGGAUCCUGUCACCACUUUGUCACCUGACUCCUACAUUUUGUCAGCUGCAGCUGGGUGUCUGAGAUCCCUUCCAUCGAUGUGGAAUGUGCACAGGGUUUGCAUGAGGCCAGCCUCUGAGGCUCCCACAUAGGUUAUGUUCCUGGUAGGACGGUUAUUUGUAUCCCUGGUAUUUUAAGACUGAUGUAAGCCUAUGAGGGGGAUUCCAGUAUCAAUAGAGGAAGCAUCUACUCUAGAUAUUUCAUUAUAAAGUUGAUGUUACAACAAUAACUACGCCCAUAACACAUCUUUGUUUAUUUUUUUUCUCUCUCUUACUGAAAAAGAAGGUGAUACCAGGGCCCAGUUUUCACUUCCCUGGCACAUUUAUACUUCAAAGAGUGACAGAAUGUGUGAGAGAACUUGGCAAAAUUCAGAAGCAAGGAGCACCCACAUUCCCAAGUGGUUCUCCUUCAUUUCCUUCAAACAGCUUCUCUCCAUGUGUGCACAAGUUUGCACUUGAACUUUAGAUCAGGAUUAGAGCUGAAAUAGUUCAGUUCUUUAGCAGCCUUCAUGACUCUUUUGUGCCCAUGGCAAUUGUCCUGGGUGUGGGAGAAACAACAUUUAGGCUCAUUGAAGAAGUGUUUGCAUUUGCUUUAAUGCCAUAGCUUUCAAAACUGAGAAACAUUUUCUUUUGUAUCAAGACUAUUAGUGGUAUCAGGAAAUGUAACAGAGCAAAGGCAUAUGAAGAAAGAGGCCAAGAAGAUGGCUCAUUAGGUAAAGGCACUUGCUGGUGCCUUGGCUUUCAUCCCUGGUCCCCACAAGGUAUAAGGAAAGAACCUACCUCCUUGUCUUUUGACCUCCACAUGCUUACUGUGACACACAUGUGCCAUCGUACCCACAAAUGAAAUGAAUAAAUAAAAGUGGAGAAAGGAAAUAUAAAGAAAGGCAUGGAGAAAAAAAUUCAGAGUUCUGAGUAAGGAUCAGUAAAGAUAGAAUUUAAAAACUGAGCAUAGUUGUAUCUUAUGGGUUUCGUUUUCUGUAUAUAAGAACAUACCAGUAAGCAUGUGAGCCUUAACAAUAGUCUUCAGGGCUUCUUGCUUAGCUCGCUUUAACUACAUGAAAGCUAAGACCCCACUGGGAGAAGGAAAACAUUCCCUGAGCUGGCAGGUGGUCCUCUUGUAAGCACUUUCCAAUUGAAAACAGAUGUUCCUGGGUGUGAGGAGGUUCCUGGUAAGUUACUGGGUAGCUUAAGCUAGGAAAUAAUCAAGUUAUAUAGGCAAAUGGAAGGUAAACAUGCUUCAAGGAGAGGCUUUAGGUUUCAGGAACACAUUCUGUACCCUAUACGUUUUUACCUCCAGCUCUAAGGUCUUCUUCAACCCUGACACUUCUAGCCCUGAGGCACACUUCAACACUGGCAGUCUUUUUAUCAUCUACGCUAACUUAAGACUCUUUAUUUCUUGUCUCCUAUGUGAGUAUUUUCUGUCAAGUAGGACAAGGCUGCUAAUAACAUACAAUUGAUCUUGGGCUUUAAAAUCAUUUAUUGAGUUAAUUAAAGAAUGGAAACUUACCAAAGCAAAUGGCUUUUUUCAAUUAAAAAUCAAAAGAUGAUCUUGCUCCCCCAUCCAAAGAGAAGACAAAAAUAUUCUCUUGGCAAUGAUAUCUAUAAAAUGACAUCUUUGGACCAGAAAGUGUAAUAUAUAAAUGAUCACUGGAAAUGAAUUCUGUUAGGAAAGUGCAAGAAAAUAAUUACACAAAAAAAUAACCAAAUACAAAAAAGUAGAUUUUACUGGUACAUCUUUUCCUGAAUUCACAGGUCUAUUAAGUACCUUUCCCCAUCUGAACAAAAUCUUAAUGAAACCCUAUGGUGGCUGCUACUCUAUCAAUGUUCUAUGACCUUGCCUAGGAAGAACAGUGAAUUUGCUUUGUGCAAAGUAAAAUUUAAUUGAAUUUUUAAAGUACAAAAGCCAUAAAGACAUGUCGUCCAAUAUCUCAAGUCUUAACAAGUAAUGGAAGACUGGAGCAAGUCAGUAAAUAAUUGUCUAUUAAAAGGAAGAAAGUAUUACUCCAAGGCCCAAACUCUUUUAAGAACAAAACUAUACGUCACGAAUACUAAUGAAAAGAAAGGUCAGCUUAAUCUUUGUUGAAGCUACUGGUCACUGAAUUCAAAUUUGCUGCAGAGAUUCCUAAUUGCUUCCCAACUCACAGCAGUGCAUGGUAGAAUAUAUUUAGUUUGAAAUAGCAAAGAGUUCUGUUGUCUUCUUGUAUAUUUGUUUGCAUAGCUCAGUGAAAGCUGGCAUCACAUUUGUAUUUUCCCAACAACAGGUUUUUGAGUACUUCCUCCUGAAAAUGAAUAUAACCAUAUCAAAAAGACUGCCAUACUUCUUAGCUUGGAAAAUCCUAACAACAAAGAAAAUUCCAUCUCUCUCUCUCUCUCUCUCUCUCUCUCUCUCUCUCUCUCUCUCUGUGUGUGUGUGUGUGUGUGUGUGUGUGUGUGUGUGAGUGUGAGUGUGUGUAUGGUGUGUGUGUGUGUGUGUUUGUGUGCAUGUGCCUCUCUGUCUCUCUAUCUCCCUGUCUCUAACAGAAAUACCUUUUGCCAUCCAUAUAUUCCAUGGUGUAUUCGAUGAGGCUUUGCAUAAAGCAGCUUACACAUGUGUAGUGUUAGAUAUUCACAGUUAGCAUUCCAAGCAUCUGCUUAAAUGCCCCCCCCCCACCAAGAGAGAACAAAAACAUUAUGGGACUAUUAGACAGUUAUUACAAACUUCUUAGAAACUGGGAAUCAAGCUAAUCCCAAUCAGAAAACAAAUCAUAAUUAUACUUUGUUCUUGUAUCGUGUGUUUCAGACAUGACUUCAUUAUUUAUCAGAGCAUUCUUCUGAGCAUAGGUAGCAAGGGUUUUCUUCAGUUUAUAGAAGCAUAAACUCAGACAUAAAAAUACUAAUUGGUUUCUGCUGGACAGAGAAAAUUCAGGCUAAAACAAAGGAAAAGAAGCAUUCCGCAUAGGACUUCAGAGCCUGUGCUUUCUUUGUAUCGUGGAAAACACAGUAUCGUUGACCCUUGUAAUACAUUGUUACCAUAACACCAGCAUUAAUCAUCUUAUGAUGCCAAUUUAGAUUUCUAAAUUGGCAAAAUCCAAAAGCUUGGAUUUUCUCUGUUUGUUGCUGUAUGCUCAUAAUAAACUAUACUCUUAAAAUAUGUUCAUUGAUUUUGUAAUGCAUGUUGUUAAUAUGAUUGCAAAGCAAAAAUGAGAAUUAGUGUGGAUGAUUUAACUCAAAAGAUCAAGACUAAUAGAGCUAAGAAUUGUCAUUGCAGAAGUUUGCAUAAACUUCAGGAGUGCAUAGUUUCAAAGAAAAUGGUGGCCAUACUUAUACUUCACCAAUAAAAUUAUAUAUGGUUGUAUUGAUAAACUUCAGGAGCCAUAAUUAUACUACACCAAUAAAAAUAUAGGAGAUUGCUAUGAGGGCCCUCCUAUCUAAAUGUAUCUUCUUCUUUUUUUUUUAAUUAGGUAUUUUCCUCAUUUACAUUUCCAAUGCUAUCCCAAAGGUCCCCCAU
rnacentral:lncRNA from 1 species